rnacentral:rRNA from 1 species
AUCCUGGCUCAGGAUGAACGCUAGCGACAGGCUUAACACAUGCAAGUCGAGGGGCAGCGAGGGAGUGCUUGCACUUCUGUCGGCGACCGGCGCACGGGUGAGUAACACGUAUGCAACCUGCCCUUGUCAGGGGGAUAAGCGAGGGAAACCUCGUCUAAUACCGCAUAUAUGGUUUUGAGGCAUCUCUUAAUCAGGAAAGAAUUAUCGGACAAGGAUGGGCAUGCGGGACAUUAGAUAGUAGGCGGGGUAACGGCCCACCUAGUCUACGAUGUCUAGGGGUUCUGAGAGGAAGGUCCCCCACACUGGAACUGAGACACGGUCCAGACUCCUACGGGAGGCAGCAGUGAGGAAUAUUGGUCAAUGGUCGGAAGACUGAACCAGCCAAGUAGCGUGAAGGAUGAAGGUUCUAUGGAUUGUAAACUUCUUUUAUACGGGAAUAAAACCACCUACGUGUAGGUGCUUGUAUGUACCGUAUGAAUAAGCAUCGGCUAACUCCGUG